rnacentral:rRNA from 1 species
AUUGAACGCUGGCGGCAUGCCUUACACAUGCAAGUCGAACGGUAACAGGUCUUCGGAUGCUGACGAGUGGCGAACGGGUGAGUAAUACAUCGGAACGUGCCUAGUAGCGGGGGAUAACUACUCGAAAGAGUGGCUAAUACCGCAUGAGAUCUACGGAUGAAAGCAGGGGAUCGCAAGACCUUGUGCUACUAGAGCGGCCGAUGGCAGAUUAGGUAGUUGGUGGGAUAAAAGCUUACCAAGCCGACGAUCUGUAGCUGGUCUGAGAGGCCGAUCAGCCACACUGGGACUGAGACACGGCCCAGACUCCUAGGGGAGGCAGCAGUGGGGAAUUUUGGACAAUGGGCGCAAGCCUGAUCCAGCAAUGCCGCGUGCAGGAUGAAGGCCUUCGGGUUGUAAACUGCUUUUGUACGGAACGAAAAGCCCUGGGUUAAUACCCUGGGGUCAUGACGGUACCGUAAGAAUAAGCACCGGCUAACUACGUGCCAGCCGCCGCAGUAACAC